UACGGGGGGUGCGAGCGUUGUCCGGAUUCACUGGGCGUAAAGGGCGCGUAGGCGGCCUGGUCAGUCGGACCUUUAAGAGCGGGGCUCACCCCCGUGGUGGGUUCGGGACGGCCGGGCUGGGGCGCGGCAGAGGGGGACGGAAUGCCGGGUGUAGUGGUGAAAUGCGUAGAGAUCCGGCGGAACACCGGUGGUGAAGACGGUCCCCUGGGCCGAGGCCGACGCUGAGGCGCGAGAGCGCGGGGAGCGAACCGG
rnacentral:rRNA from 1 species